rnacentral:snRNA from 1 species
GGUUACCCCAUCCCCCACCCCCUCCCCUCUGAAACCCUCAGUUUGCGCCCUCAGUCGAAGAGGACGACCUUCCCCGGUAGAGGAGUUCCGCUCUUCGGUCAAGGGUAUACGAGUAGCUGCACUCCCCUCCUAGAACCGCCAAACGAGUUCUCAAAGAAUUAGUGAUUUUUUUGGGCUAUCCAAGUGGAUAUUUCUACCAUGCUGGU